rnacentral:rRNA from 1 species
CUACGGGCUGCUGCAGUGGGGAAUAUUGCACAAUGGGCGCAAGCCUGAUGCAGCCAUGCCGCGUGUAUGAAGAAGGCCUUCGGGUUGUAAAGUACUUUCAGCGGGGAGGAAGGGAGUAAAGUUAAUACCUUUGCUCAUUGACGUUACCCGCAGAAGAAGCACCGGCUAACUCCGUGCCAGCAGCCGCGGUAAUACGGAGGGUGCAAGGGUUAAUCGGAAUUACUGGGCGUAAAGCGCACGCAGGCGGCUUGUUAAGUCAGAUGUGAAAUCCCCGGGCUCAACCUGGGAACUGCAUCUGAUACUGGCAAGCUUGAGUCUCGUAGAGGGGGGUAGAAUUCCAGGUGUAGCGGUGAAAUGCGUAGAGAUCUGGAGGAAUACCGGUGGCGAAGGCGGCCCCCUGGACGAAGACUGACGCUCAGGUGCGAAAGCGUGGGGAGCAAACAGGAUUAGAUACCCCUGUAGUC